rnacentral:misc_RNA from 1 species
CCCAAAGUACUUAUCUAUCCUGAACCAUCGACGCUUUUACCUGCCUGAGGUCUUCCCAAAGCUCAACAAAGUGCUGUUCUUAGAUGAUGAUAUAGUUGUACAAAAGGACCUUACAGGCCUUUGGUCCCUUGAUUUGAAGGGUAAUGUUAAUGGUGCUGUAGAGACUUGUGGAGAAAGCUUUCAUCGUUUUGAUCGAUAUCUCAACUUCUCAAAUUCUCUUAUCUCAAAAAAUUUUGAUCCUCAUGCUUGUGGAUGGGCAUAUGGAAUGAAUAUAUUUGAUUUGGAGGAAUGGAAGAGGCAAAACAUCACUGAGGUGUAUCAUAGAUGGCAGAAACUGAAUCAUGACAGAUCAUUGUGGAAGUUGGGGACUCUGCCGGCUGGCCUCAUUACUUUCUGGAAAAGGACUCAUUCCCUUGACCGAUCUUGGCAUGUGCUGGGCCUUGGCUAUAACCCCAAUGUCAACCAAAGAGUGAUUGAACGAGCAGCGGUUAUACACUACAAUGGCAACAUGAAGCCAUGGCUUGAGAUAGGCAUACCCAAAUACCGCAACUAUUGGGUGAAAUAUGUAGAUUAUGAUCAUGUGUACUUGCGAGAGUGCAACAUUAACCCCUAGAAGAGCUCUCUUGGUAUCCAGUCAUUAGAGGUCUGCUGCACAACCCAUGUGGCCAAACAUUUUUUACAGUUUUGCAUCACUCUGUGUAGGUUCUUUUGCUAUCUACAUAGAAGCUUCUGAGCUCAAUUCUUUCUGUAUACAAUAUUUUCCCCUAUCCUUUUGGCAUGGUAGUUAAUUUUGAAACCCUUGGUUACAUAUCCACAAAUUGGCAGUUGUAUUUGUAAAUGAUUGUGAGUGUUUUUAUUUUUUUUGGCUGU